AUGACACUUCUAUCCUUUGCUGUAGAAGAGCCUAGGUCACUGCCUGUUCCCAGGCCGUGUGGCUCUUCCAAUAACAAUUCCCCAAAUGUGGUAACACCGCCUACCCUGUGCUCCGCAAGCCUGAGGCUAAUUGUUCAGUGUCAGAUGAGUCCCAGUGCCCUCAUGCCAGGAUUACAGGGGGCAGGAAAUCAACUGAGCCAGGACCCACAGCUGCCCAGCAGAACACAGCUCCUUAAAAAGCAGGUAUCAAAUCUGACCUUAUCUAUCCUUCAGGCUGUCCAACUCAUCUCUGCUCCCACUGCCUUAUCUCUCACUAUUCCCCAAACAGAGCUUCGAAUACUGAAUACUGACACGCCUGCUACUUUUCUCUCUGGUGCACAUAUUUUGCAUUCUUCCCAUUCUUAUCUUUGCUCUUCUUCUCUGUUGCAUACUUGGGAUGUUCUCUAUUACCAUCUGUGAAAGCUUCAGCAGACGCUAACUACUCAAAAUUAGUUUCCUUUUAAUUGUCUCUUCAGACGGUUAUUUUUGCUUGAAUUAUGGGAUACAUCCUUAUUGCAUUCUCAAUGCCCCAUGUUUAAGAACAAAGGGCUUGGCUCCAGUUAAAGGCAAGUUAGAAUCCUGGGUCUGUUUUCUCAUCUAUGUCUCACUUGUUUCACUCAUAAUAUAGAGAUUUCACAGUUAAUGUUGAGGGGAUUUCAUGGGAUAAGUUAAAUAAAAUGCUUGAUAUAUGAUGAUAAGUCCA
rnacentral:lncRNA from 1 species